GGUGAACGCUGGCGGCGUGCCUAAUACAUGCAAGUCGAGCGAAUGGAUUAAGAGCUUGCUCUUAUGAAGUUAGCGGCGGACGGGUGAGUAACACGUGGAUAACCUGCCCAUAAGACUGGGAUAACUCCGGGAAACCGGGGCUAAUACCGGAUAACAUUUUGAACCGCAUGGUUCGAAAUUGAAAGGCGGCUUCGGCUGUCACUUAUGGAUGGACCCGCGUCGCAUUAGCUAGUUGGUGAGGUAACGGCUCACCAAGGCAACGAUGCGUAGCCGACCUGAGAGGGGAAUCGGCCACACUGGGACUGAGACACGGCCCAGACUCCUACGGGAGGCAGCAGUAGGGAAUCGUCCGCAAUGGACGAAGGUCUGACGGAGCAACGCCGCGUGAGUGAUGAAGGCUUUCGGGUCGUAAAACGCUGUUGUUAGGGAAGAACAAGUGCUAGUUGAAUAAGCUGACACCUUGACGGUACCUAACCAGAAAGCCACGGCUAACUACGUGCCAGCCGCCGCCGUAA
rnacentral:rRNA from 1 species